rnacentral:lncRNA from 1 species
UAAAGAUAAAAAUUAUUUAAUGAAUAAUUCAUUUAGAUAAAAAAAAGGAUACAUUAAAUAAAAAAAAUUGUGAAUCAAUUAUUAUUUAGUCACCGUCACUUUAAGGUUAUGCGGGCCGUGAUCUCGAAUUUGAAGCCCAGCUUCAGAAUCUAAAACACGGGCUUGGAAAUUACUUUCGGAACCCCAUCAAUUUUUAUCUGCAUCCCCUCUUUAUCUGGAAUUCCAAUUUUGCCUUUGCGACUUGUAUUUGAAACUGGUCUCCUUUGGUGGUUGCUGUAACGUGGAGAGGACUGUUUC